rnacentral:rRNA from 1 species
GACGGUGGAGGUAUGUGGUUUAAUUCGAUGCAACGCGAAGAACCUUACCCGGUCUUGACAUCCCGGAGACCCUUAGGAAACUAGGGGGUGCUUCCAUCUGGAAGAAUCUGGAGACAGGUGCUGCAUGGCUGUCGUCAGCUCGUGUCGUGAGAUGUUGGGUUAAGUCCCGCAACGAGCGCAACCCUUGCCUUUAGUUGCCAGCAGUUCGGCUGGGCACUCUAAAGGGACUGCCGGUGUUAAACCGGAGGAAGGUGGGGAUGACGUCAAGUCCUCAUGGCCUUUAUGACCAGGGCUACACACGUACUACAAUGGCCGAUACAAAGGGCAGCGACACUGCGAGGUGAAGCCAAUCCCGUAAAAUCGGUCUCAGUCCGGAUUGGAGUCUGCAACUCGACUCCAUGAAGUUGGAAUCGCUAGUAAUCGUGGAUCAGCAUGCCACGGUGAAUGCGUUCCCGGGCCUU